rnacentral:rRNA from 1 species
ACUCCUGACUGACCGAUAGUGAACCAGUACCGUGAGGGAAAGGCGAAAAGAACCCCGGCGAGGGGAGUGAAAAAGAACCUGAAACCGUGUACGUACAAGCAGUGGGAGCCCUGAUUUAUCAGGGUGACUGCGUACCUUUUGUAUAAUGGGUCAGCGACUUAUAUUCUGUAGCAAGGUUAACCGCAUAGGGGAGCCGCAGGGAAACCGAGUCUUAACGGGGCGUUAAGUUGCA